rnacentral:misc_RNA from 1 species
GGCAAAGGCUCAUGUUGUUUUGUUACUAAAUAGCAAUGGGAUGGAUGUGUUUUACAAUGGAGAUUCUUUAACAUACAAAGUGAUUGGGGGUGUUUUGGACUUUUACUUCUUUUCUGGGCCCACACCACUUGAUGUUGUUGAUCAAUAUACUUCAUUCAUAGGAAGGCCUGCUCCAAUGCCUUAUUGGUCUUUUGGAUUUCAUCAAUGUAGAUGGGGUUACCACAAUUUAUCAGUAAUUGAAGAUGUUGUUGAGAACUACAACAAAGCCAAAAUCCCUCUUGAUGUUAUCUGGAACGAUGAUGAUCAUAUGGAUGGUAAAAAAGAUUUCACUCUCAAUCCAGUUAACUAUCCUCGUCCGAAUUUGCUAGCAUUCUUGGACAAGAUUCAUGGUCGUGGCAUGAAGUACAUUGUCAUCGUUGAUCCUGGAAUAGGCGUUAACAACACUUAUGGUGUUUACCAAAGAGGUAUAGCUAAUGAUGUUUUCAUCAAAUAUGAAGGCAAGCCUUAUUUAGCUCAAGUUUGGCCGGGUGCUGUCAAUUUCCCCGAUUUUCUGAAUCCGAAGACUGUUGAGUGGUGGGGUGAUGAAAUCAGGAGGUUUCGCGAACUUGUGCCUAUUGAUGGACUAUGGAUUGACAUGAAUGAAGUUUCAAACUUUUGUUCGGGUUUGUGUACAAUCCCUCAAGGAAGGAUAUGUCCUACUGGCACCGGUCCUGGUUGGAUAUGUUGCCUGGAUUGCAAAAACAUAACGAAUACUAGAUGGGAUGAUCCGCCUUAUAAGAUUAAUGCUAGUGGAAUACAGGCACCAAUUGGCUAUAAAACCAUAGCGACUAGCGCUGUUCAUUAUAAUGGAGUUAAGGAAUAUGAUGCUCAUAGCCUCUACGGGUUUUCUCAGU